UACGGGGGGGGCAAGCGUUGUUCGGAAUUACUGGGCGUAAAGGGCUCGUAGGCGGCCAACUAAGUCAGCCGUGAAAUCCCUCGGCUUAACCGGGGAACUGCGUCUGAUACUGGAUGGCUGGAGUAUGGGAGAGGGUAGUGGAAUUCCCGGUGUAGCGGUGAAAUGCGUAGAUAUCGGGAGGAACAUCAGUGGCGAAGGCGGCUACCUGGCCCAAUACUGACACUCAGGUGCGACAGCGUGGGGAGCAAACAGG
rnacentral:rRNA from 1 species